AUUGAACGCUGGCGGCAGGCCUAACACAUGCAAGUCGAACGAGUGGCGGACGGGUGAGUAAUGUCUGGGAAACCGCCCGAUGGCGGGGGAUAACUACUGGAAACAGUAGCUUAUACCGCAUACCCUCGGAUGUGCCCAUAUGGGAUUAGCUUGGGGGGGGGGUAACGGCUCACCUAGGAGACGAUCCCUAGCUGGUCUGAGAGGAUGACCAGCCACACUGGAACUGAGACACGGUCCAGACUCCUACGGGAGGCAGCAGUGGGGAAUAUUGCACAAUGGGCGCAAGCCUGAUGCAGCCAUGCCGCGUGUAUGAAGAAGGCCUUCGGGUUGUAAAGUACUUUCAGCGAGGAGGCGUUACUCGCAGAAGAAGCACCGGCUAACUCCGUGCCAGCAGCCGCGGUAAUAC
rnacentral:rRNA from 1 species